rnacentral:rRNA from 1 species
UGCAAGUCGCACGAGAAGCUUCCUUCGGGAAGUGGAGAGUGGCGGACGGGUGCGUAACGCGUAUCCAACCUGCCCUUCAGCGGGGAAUAACAUUGGGAAACCGAUGCUAAUACCGCAUAUAUUGUAAGCUGGGCAUCCAGUUAACAAGAAAGACGCGAGUCACUGAAGGAUGGGGAUGCGUUUGAUUAGCUAGUUGGAGAGGUAACGGCUCCCCAAGGCAACGAUCAAUAGCUGGUCUGAGAGGAUGAUCAGCCACACUGGCACUGAGACACGGGCCAGACUCCUACGGGAGGCAGCAGUAGGGAAUAUUGGGCAAUGGGCGCAAGCCUGACCCAGCCAUGCCGCGUGCGGGAAGACGGUCCACAGGAUUGUAAACCGCUUUUCUACGGGAAUAAGGACUUGGUAUCCAGGUUCUGCAGGUACCGUAGGAAUAAGCACCGGCAAACUACGUGCCAGCAGCCGCGGUAAUACGUAGGGUGCAAGCGUUGUCCGGAUUCACUGGGUUUAAAGGGUACGCAGGCGGCUUGGCCAGUCGGCGAUGAAAUAUCGGAGCUUAACUCCGGUGCUGUUGCCGAUACUGCCAGGCUAGAGCGUGGUUGAGGUAGCUGGAAUGGACGGUGUAGCGGUGAAAUGCGUAGAGAUCGUCUGGAACACCAAUUGUGAAGACAGGCUACUGGACCACAGCUGACGCUGAGGUACGAAAGCGUGGGGAGCGAACAGGAUUAGAUACCCUGGUAGUCCACGCUGUAAACGAUGAUUACUCGCUUUGUAUUCACUUGAGGAUACGAGGCUGAGCGAAAGCGUUAAGUAAUCCACCUGGGGAGUACGCUCGCAAGGGUGAAACUUCAAAGGGAAUUGACGGGGGCCCGCACAAGUGGUGGAGCAUUGUGGUUUAAUUCGAUGAUACGCGAAGGAACCUUACCUGGGCUAAAUCCAUACGGCCGCCGGGUGAAAGCCUGGUUUCCUACGGGACUGUAUGGAAGGUGCUGCAUGGCUGUCGUCAGCUCGUGCCGUGAGGUGUUGGGUUAAGUCCCGCAACGAGCGCAGCCCCUGUCGUCAGUUGCCAGCAGGUAAAGCUGGGGACUCUGACGAGACUGCCUUCGCAAGGAGUGAGGAAGGCGGGGACGACGUCAAGUCAUCAUGGCCCUUACGUCCAGGGCGACACACGUGCUACAAUGGAAGGUACAAUGGGCAGCGAGACCGCGAGGUGGAGCAAAUCUCAGAAAGCCUUUCUCAGUUCGGAUUGUAGUCUGCAACUCGACUGCAUGAAGCCGGAAUCACUAGUAAUCGCACAUCAGCCAUGGUGCGGUGAAUACGUACCCGGGCCUUGUACACACCGCCCGUCAAGCCAUGGAAGCUGGGGGCGCCUGAAGUC